rnacentral:rRNA from 1 species
UACGUAGGGAGCAAGCGUUGUCCGGAAUCAUUGGGCGUAAAGCGCGCGUAGGUGGCUUCGUAAGUCCGUUGUGAAAGUCAAAGGCUCAACCUUUGAAAGCCGAUGGAUACUGUGAAGCUAGAGUACGGAAGAGGCGAGUGGAAUUCCUGGUGUAGCGGUGAAAUGCGCAGAUAUCAGGAAGAACACCCGUGGCUAAGGCGGCUCUCUAGUACGGUACUGACGCUGAGACGCGAAAGCGUGGGGAGCGAACAGG